CCAUCUGGGAGUCACGCCUAUUGCAGCCAAGUGCACUGCAAACAAGCCCUGGAGCAUAUGCUGCAUCCGAAUAUUUUGUGUGGGGUCUGAUGCUCUGUGGCAGUGAAGGACUUAGGCAAGACAAGAGCCCAAGAGAGAACCAG
rnacentral:lncRNA from 12 species